GGAAGUGGUAGCUUAGUAGUUAAGGCAUUGGAUUACUAAUCGGAAGAUCAUGAGUUUAAAUCCCAGCACCACCA